CAGCCGCCGCGGUAAAACGAAGGGUGCAAGCGUUAAUCGGAAUUACUGGGCGUAAAGCGUGCGUAGGCGGUGAGUUAAGUCUGCUGUGAAAUCCCCGGGCUCAACCUGGGAAUUGCAGUGGAUACUGGAUCACUAGAGUGUGGUAGAGGAUAGUGGAAUUUCCGGUGUAGCAGUGAAAUGCGUAGAGAUCGGAAGGAACAUCUGUGGCGAAAGCGGCUCACUGGACCAUAACUGACGCUGAUGCACGAAAGCUAGGGGAGCAAACAGGAUUAGAUACCCCCGUAGUCCCUGUCUCUUAUAC
rnacentral:rRNA from 1 species